rnacentral:rRNA from 1 species
CCUACGGGAGGCAGCAGUGGGGAAUAUUGGACAAUGGGCGGAAGCCUGAUCCAGCAACGCCGCGUGAGGGAUGACGGCCUUCGGGUUGUAAACCUCUUUCAGUACCGACGAAGCGAGAGUGACGGUAGGUACAGAAGAAGCACCGGCCAACUACGUGCCAGCAGCCGCGGUAAUACGUAGGGUGCGAGCGUUGUCCGGAAUUAUUGGGCGUAAAGGGCUCGUAGGCGGUUUGUCGCGUCGGGAGUGAAAACGCCGUGCUUAACACGGCGCUUGCUUUCGAUACGGGCGGACUAGAGGUAUGCAGGGGAGAACGGAAUUCCUGGUGUAGCGGUGAAAUGCGCAGAUAUCAGGAGGAACACCGGUGGCGAAGGCGGUUCUCUGGGCAUUACCUGACGCUGAGGAGCGAAAGUGUGGGGAGCGAACAGGAUUAGAUACCCUGGUAGUCCACACCGUAAACGUUGGGCGCUAGGUGUGGGGCCUAUUCCAUGGCGUCCGUCGCGCGAGCUACGCAUAAGCGCCCGCCCGUCGGGUAGGUACGGCCGGCCGACGGACGUAAACCGUACGAAAGUAGAAGUUAGACGGUCGUGAGACGUUGUCCGACGGACGACGACGAGGGAGGAGG